rnacentral:lncRNA from 1 species
CCUUCCAACUGACCCUCCGGCUCUAUUCCAGGCUCUCUGGAGAUCACCCCUGUUGUUAGCAUGGCCUUCCUUCCAAGGACGUCGCGCUCAGGAGAGAGUGGCAGCUGGUACAGUGCAAACAGAAGCCAAUGCCACCCUGCUCCCAAGGAGGAGACGCACAAGCAGACAGGGGCCUUGGAUUCUGCUCUGGGCAGUAAGAAGCCAUGAAAGAUGCUGAAGACUCCAGUUGCAGUGUGGAGGGCAGACUAGGGUGGAAAUGGGAAGUGCGGAGACACUGGCCUUCUCAAGGCCACGGGACUUUCCUAGGUGAGUAGCGACAGGAGUUUGGGCUGGCGGAAUGUAAAAAAGGAAAUGAAUUUCAGAGACAGCUUUUUCAGAUGUUACAUUGGGUGAUUUUACCUUGUGACCACAGAUUCUUUGACAUUUUUCCCAUCAAAAAAUAGACUUUAAUUCCCCCACCUCUAUGGGCUGGCUUUAGUGACUUGCUUGUGAUGAAUAAAAUGUGGGUUGAGUGAUGCUAUGUGACUACUAAGGCUAGAUUAGAAAAGGUGGUACUGCUUCCAGUUGGCUCUCCCUUGGUACCCAGCCAUCAUGCUGUAAGGAAGUCUGGGCAAGAGAAGAGCUCACAUAUACGUGUUCUGGCUGACCACUCUUCUGAGGUCUCAGGCGACAGCUAACCUCAAGUCUAGAGUUGACCAUGAAGAGGUUUUCAAGAUGACUGCAAUUGCAUGAGAUUCUGAGGACUCCCUGUCAAUCUCCAGAACUGUGAUUUGUGCCAUUAAGUUUGGGUGGUUUGUUGGCAGCAAGAAAAUAGCACCCUUCACUAUUAAGAAGACUUUUCAGAAGAGCUUAAAAAAUUCCCAACAUCCAGGCUAGAUCCAAGCUUUAAUAUUCUUCUGAGCCCCAACAUGCAGUCAUGGUUGAGAAGCACUACUGUAAACCAACCCCAAGGCUUGAACUGGGUUAAUUCCGUGCAUUGCCCCUCAUUCCCCCUCUUCCCCUUACACAACUCCUUUUCCUUGUCACUGGUUUCCAUCUUCAGUUCCUGGUAGAUAAAAGUGAUCCAUUUAAGCAACUGGAACGAGAUGUUUAUUUUUAAAGCAGCAAAGGAGAAUGGAUAUGUGAGGGAAGCAGGGAAGGUCCCAGGGGUAGAAGUGUGAAUAAGGUUGCUAGAUAAAAUACAGGAGGACAAGGUAAUUUGAAUUUCAGAUAAACAAUGAAGAUUUUUAAGUAUGAUCCAAAUAUUACAUGCAUGCAUGAGAUGCUCCAAUUAUUGUAUAGACAUACUAAAAAUUAUAUAUUGUUUAUCUGAAAUUCAAAUUUAACCAUGUUUCCAUGUUUCUAUUUGAUAAAUCUGGCAACCCUAGGUGUGAAGCCAGAUUAAGGUAUCUUUAGGCCUCAAUAGAGGAGGGACAUCUAUAGACUCCUGAGUCCUCCAAUGCCAGGGUAAAAAGCACUCAGAAAUC